CCGACCUUAGCUCAGCUGGAAGAGCGCGAGACUGUAAUUGGAUAAAAUUUCCCAGAUUAUCUUGAGGCCGUGCGUUCGAUCCGCACAGGUCGGA